rnacentral:rRNA from 1 species
GACGAACGCUGGCGGCGUGCUUAACACAUGCAAGUCGAACGGAAAGGCCCUGCUUUUGUGGGGUGCUCGAGUGGCGAACGGGUGAGUAACACGUGAGUAACCUGCCCUUGACUUUGGGAUAACUUCAGGAAACUGGGGCUAAUACCGGAUAGGAGCUCCUGCUGCAUGGUGGGGGUUGGAAAGUUUCGGCGGUUGGGGAUGGACUCGCGGCUUAUCAGCUUGUUGGUGGGGUAGUGGCUUACCAAGGCUUUGACGGGUAGCCGGCCUGAGAGGGUGAACGGGCACAUGGGGACUGAGAGACGGCCCAGACUCCUACGGGAGGCAGCAGUGGGGAAUAUUGCACAAUGGGCGGAAGCCUGAGGAAGCAACGCCGCGUGCGGGAUGACGGCCUUCGGGUUGUAAACCGCUUUCGCCUGUGACGAAGCGUGAGUGACGGUAAUGGGUAAAGAAGCACCGGCUAACUACGUG